AUGGAGAAGAUCAUGCUCUUUUGUGUUUUUUCAUACUUGAUUAUUCAGAUCAGCUCCAGCGAUGUUUCAGAACAUAAUGUGACUCUGUUAAGAUUCCGGCUGAAUGAAAACAUCACUAUGAACUGCAGCAUAAACGACCAAUUCCCCUACAGAUUUGAAAUGGCCUGGUAUCACCAGAAUCCUGAAUUUGGACGACUAACACUGCUGCUGCCUGCCAAGAUCUGGUCAUUCCUAUAUAUUAAAUACCCUGAAAACAGUCGCAUGAGAGUUCAUGGAGAUAGGAAGAACAUCUCACUAAAUAUUAUUGGACUAACAGAGUCAGAUUCAGGUCUUUAUUUCUGUGGAAAAGGACAUACAUUUAAUUCAAUCUUGUACUUCGACAAACCCAUCAGACUAGUGAUGGAGGACAAGCUGACAGACAGAGAAGACAAAGUUCAGUCCGUCACAGAUCUGCCAGAGAUCACAGCCUCUACAGUCGAGGCGAUGCUGACGGAGCGUGUGAUGAUGUUCGGUGGUGCUGGUCUGGCUGUGUUUGUGUUUUUUCUGGCUACAGUUGUUGCAGGAGGAAUCAUUCACUGUUACGGUUGGCAGAAAGGAUGGGCCACAGCUAAACGUGCUGGUCUGACUGAUUAAAAAAUAACCUACAUGUCACAAAAUUUUGUGCUUUAUUUUUCACUCUAUCACAAUAAUCAGCAUUGCUGUAUGUUAUCACUGAUGGUGGCUACAGAUCUCAUUUAGACUUCUGUUGUGGUAAAGUUCUCAAGGAGCAUUAAAGUGCCCCCUUUAUGCUAUCUGAAAAGUACAUUAAUUUGGUUUUGAGCAUCCUCAACAGUAGGUUCACAUGCAUGCAAGAUCAAUAAACAUGUGCAACGCUCUCAA
rnacentral:lncRNA from 1 species